AUUUUGGGUUUUUGCUCUUUCUCAUUUUAAAGACUGAGAGAGAGAAAAAAACAGAGAAAGAACCAAACCAACAAACACAAUCACAAGUAGCAGCGAACGAAAAAACACAAGAUUUCCACAGCUCAAAAACCCACAACCCACAACGAUCUUUCCCUCUACAUCUUUUGCAGAGAUUUUUGUUGGGGUGGUGAAGUUUUUUCAAUUGGUGGAGCUUUGGGUUCGUGCCAAUUUGAAGGUGAUUUGUUGGGUUUCUUGUGGGGUUGAUAGUUUUUUCACUUUCAGUUUAUAAUGGUUCAAGAGCUUGUGAAAAGUUGACUCAUGGAUCCUGAAGGCAAAAAGUUUGGAGGAGGACCAAGGGAGUUGACAGGCGCUGUCGAUCUCAUAGGCCAUUUCAAAUUGAUACCUCACUAUGAGUUUUUCUGCAAGAGGCCGCUUCCCGUGUCAAUCGCGGACACGCACUAUUUGCAUAACGUAGUAGGAGACACUGAAGUAAGAAAAGGAGAUGGGAUGCAAUUGGAUCAACUUACUCAAAACACAUCUUUCUCGAGAGAUACAAGUGCUCGUAUACUGCCUUUUGACUUGGACAUACUUAAGGAGGCUUUUCAACUAAGGGAAACCGCUCCCAUCGAUUUGCCUGCUGCGGAGAAAGGAAUACCAACAAUUGCAGGAAAAUCAAAAAGCGAGAAAGACAAAGAGAAGAAGCAUAAGAAGCACAAAGACAGGGAUAAGGACAAAGAGCAUAAGAAGCACAAACAUCGUCACAAGGACAGAAGCAAAGACAAAGACAAGGAUAAGGACAGGAAGAAAGAUAAAAGCGGACAUCGUGAUUCCAGUGCUGAUCACUCAAAGAAACACCAUGACAAGAAAAGGAAGCACGACGGAGACGAUGAUGUUAAUGAUGUGCACAAACACAAAAAGAGUAAGCAUAAGAGCUCAAGAAUUGACGAGUUAGGGGCAAUAAAGGUCGCCGGCUGAAAUAGUUAUGUACUUAGUUCACUCUCUUUUCCUCAAUUGGUUGUUGUCAUUUGUGUGUGAAGGAGACUUUUGUCUGACAUUUUCAGAUUUCUUGAGAGUAGCUAGGGGACCUGACUAUAAGAUUAUCAUGACGGUGAAUUCACCCGAUGAUGGAAAAGGAAGCAGGUAAAAUAUAUGAUGAAGAUAAAACUAUUCUUGUAUAAUAACAAUUACCUUAUAGAUUUGCUAGUAAACUUUGGUCUUCCUUUUCCCAGUUUUUGGAGCACUGGAUAUAUCUCAACAUUGUUUUGACUUUGAUUUUUCUUCUUUUUUAUAUACAUAAAUAUUCUCUAGUUUACAAUUUAUUUAUCAAGGGUUUUUUAAACUAGAUGUAGAAGCUUCUAUGGGGGGAUUUGUGUGUGUAUAUCGAUAGAACCCCCCCACCCGUAUUAGCAUCAUUUAUUUAACAUCGGCGGGUGGAUAUGUCUGUAUCGUAUCUGUAUAGAGUUAAAGUUGUAAACUAUAUGGGGCGGAACUUUCCGCACCAUAAAUAUUAUUUCAGAUGUUCGCAUUUAGGAAAAAAAUGUGAAUUUUGUUACUUCCAA